rnacentral:rRNA from 1 species
GUGCCAGCCGCCGCGGUAAUACGUAGGGGGCAAGCGUUGUUCGGAAUUACUGGGCGUAAAGGGCGCGUAGGCGGCACAGCAAGUCGGGAGUGAAAGCCCGGGGCUCAACCCCGGAACUGCUUUCGAAACUGCUGAGCUAGAGUACAGAAGGGGCAACCGGAAUUCCCAGUGUAGCGGUGAAAUGCGUAGAUAUUGGGAAGAACACCUGAGGCGAAGGCGGGUUGCUGGGCUGAUACUGACGCUGAGGCGCGAAAGCCAGGGGAGCAAACGGGAUUAGAAACCCUCGUAGUCC